UACGAAGGGGGCUAGCGUUGCUCGGAAUCACUGGGCGUAAAGGGUGCGUAGGCGGGUCUUUAAGUCAGGGGUGAAAUCCUGGAGCUCAACUCCAGAACUGCCUUUGAUACUGAAGAUCUUGAGUUCGGGAGAGGUGAGUGGAACUGCGAGUGUAGAGGUGAAAUUCGUAGAUAUUCGCAAGAACACCAGUGGCGAAGGCGGCUCACUGGCCCGAUACUGACGCUGAGGCACGAAAGCGUGGGGGGCAAACAGG
rnacentral:rRNA from 1 species